UUAGCUCAGUUGAUAAGGCGCCGGACUCUCAACCCUGAGGUCCGGGGUUCGAUUCUCU
rnacentral:tRNA from 12 species